AUUGAACGCUGGCGGCAGGCCUAACACAUGCAAGUCGAACGGCAGCACAGAAGAGCUUGCUCUUUGGGUGGCGAGUGGCGGACGGGUGAGUAAUGUCUGGGAAACUGCCCGAUGGAGGGGGAUAACUACUGGAAACGGUAGCUAAUACCGCAUAACGUCGCAAGACCAAAGUGGGGGACCUUCGGGCCUCACACCAUCGGAUGUGCCCAGAUGGGAUUAGCUAGUAGGUGGGGUAAUGGCUCACCUAGGCGACGAGCCCUAGCUGGGCUGAGAGGAUGGCAAGCCACACUGGAACUGAGACACGGUCCAGACUCCUACGGGAGGCAGCAGGGGGGAAUAUUGCACAAUGGGCGCAAGCCUGAUGCAGCCAUGCCGCGUGUAUGAAGAAGGCCUUCGGGUUGUAAAGUACUUUCAGCGGGGAGGAAGGCGGUGAGGUUAAUAACCUCGCCGAUUGACGUUACCCGCAGAAGAAGCACCGGCUAACUCCGUGCCAGCCGCCGCCGUAA
rnacentral:rRNA from 1 species